UACGUAGGUGGCAAGCGUUGUCCGGAAUUAUGGGGCGUAAAGCGCGCGCAGGUGGUUCCUUAAGUCUGAUGUGAAAGCCCACGGCUCAACCGUGGAGGGUCAUUGGAAACUGGGGAACUUGAGUGCAGAAGAGGAAAGUGGAAUUCCAAGUGUAGCGGUGAAAUGCGUAGAGAUUUGGAGGAACACCAGUGGCGAAGGCGACUUUCUGGUCUGUAACUGACACUGAGGCGCGAAAGCGUGGGGAGCAAACAGG
rnacentral:rRNA from 1 species